rnacentral:rRNA from 1 species
AACGAACGCUGGCGGCAUGCCUAACACAUGCAAGUCGAACGAGACCUUCGGGUCUAGUGGCGCACGGGUGCGUAACGCGUGGGAAUCUGCCCUUUGCUUCGGAAUAACAGUUAGAAAUGACUGCUAAUACCGGAUGAUGUCUUCGGACCAAAGAUUUAUCGGCAAAGGAUGAGCCCGCGUAGGAUUAGGUAGUUGGUGGGGUAAAGGCCUACCAAGCCGACGAUCCUUAGCUGGUCUGAGAGGAUGAUCAGCCACACUGGGACUGAGACACGGCCCAGACUCCUACGGGAGGCAGCAGUGGGGAAUAUUGGACAAUGGGCGAAAGCCUGAUCCAGCAAUGCCGCGUGAGUGAUGAAGGCCUUGGGUCGUAAA